UUUUUUUUUUUUAAUAAGGAAUUGAUUGGGCAGCCUGGGUGGCUCAGGGUUUUUGUGCCGUCUUCAGCCCAGGGCAUGAUCCUGGAGACUCGGGAUCGAGUCCCACAUCGGGCUCCCUGCACAGAGCCUGCUUCUCCCUCUGCCUGUGUCUCUGCCUCUCUCUCUGUGUGUGUCUCUCAUGAAUAAAUAAAUAAAAUCUUAAAGAAUUGGUAGACAAUUUACCUGAUUUUAUUACCUAUAACUAUUACCAUGAAACAAGAAAUGUUAUUAGAAAUGGUUUCCAAUGCUUCUUGUUUUCAUCUUGUCUCCCUUUUAUCUUUCACUAACAAAACUGUUGAAUUUUUGUUAUGUCCGUUCCCAUCAGAUGCUGUUGUCUGUGCCCAAUGAGGGAUAAAUAUACAUUAUCUUAACUUUCAAAAAUGUAUAUUCAGCUUUAUGGGAAAACUUUAGGAAUUAGUUUUUAAUGAUAGCACUGAGACCUGAAGAACAAAUAAGCCGUGCGUGGUAAAGAGGGAAAGGAGGUACCUUCUAGUGAAAGACCUUUGCACUAAAGGGCUUUUGUGUCAGGAGGGAGUGUAUUAGUAGGAAUUGGAAGAAUGCUAAUUCAGCUACAGUGGGAAGUGAAAAACAGUGGCCUUUGUUUGGGUUUCAAGAAAAAGGCAAAAAACAAGACUGUGGGGUUUAUAAAUCACAUUAAAGAUUGCCCCAAGAAUAAUGUGGAAUCCUCGAAGGGUGUGAAGUGUCAAAACUUUUUGGGUAUAAGAUCAAAUCAGGAAAAGAAUAGGGUAAACCAGUGAAACUAUAGUAGAAGUCUUCAACUACAGGGAGAUAGGAUCAUAGACAUAGAAAAGUUGAUUUAAUGAAAGACUUAAGAAACUAAACUGAUAAUACUUAACUGGAUGUUUGGAUAUGAUAGAGUAGGAUGGCUUUUAGAGCUUAUGUAAUGGUAUAUACCAUUGCCCAAGUCAGGAAGUUUGGAAAAAGCUGUGGAGAUAAUAUGAAUCUUGUGCCUUUGGAAUCCAAGAAAUAGUUCUAAUUAGUUAUAUGGCUUUGGAGUUUUGAAUAUAUGUGUGAAAGCUCUAACUUCAUAGUAACAGUUAAAAUAGAGAAGAAACCAUCAAAACAUGGGAAGGUGGGGCAGGUGAGAAGUCUGGUACAACUUCCAGGUUUCUGGUUUGGGAAACAGUGCUCAUUGAGAUCAGUAAAAAGUAAGCUCUAUGCCCAACAUGGGGCUUGCACUCAUGACCUGGUGAUCAAGAGUUGUAUACUCUGGAAUGAGCCAGCCAGGUGCCCAGAGAGGAAGUGGCUUUGGAUUAGAAGAGAUACCCUCCCUCCUCACGAGGGAAGAUGUAGUUAGAUAAAAGUAUAGGGAGGUUUGUGGGCUGAAGGUGGGUAGAAGUUUUAAGACCUUCAUAUCUAGUGACUUUAGGACAGUUAAGGGCAUUGUGCAAGGGUUUGGGGUUUAAGUUUGGGAGAAAAACUGUUGAUAGAUUUGUUGGGACUUGGUUAGUCUAGCUAAGAAUAGGCUCCAGUUUUGUGGUGGCAGUCCACUUACUAACACAUUCAGUCACCCAGCAGGUGGGUAGUUAGAUCAAGCUCUGGGAUGGGGAAGGCUUUGAUAAUUGUCAUUACCCUUCUGUUUAAUGGUUGUCAACCCACCUAUAGAAUCAUCACCUAUGCCCUCUCGAUAGUUGGUUGUUUUGAUGGGGUGGGGGGGUUGCCAUCAGCAUUUUAAAAAAUUGCUGUCCUACCUGUUGUCUCAGAGCUUUUUAAAGCACCAUAUUAAGGUUAGUAGUUUUUUUUUUUCCAAGAGAGCCAACGGGCUCCAAAGAGUUACAUGACUACUAGCAGAAUGGUGAGUCGAAGUUAGAAUGUGUUCAUGAUUCCAAAUCCUCUGUUCACAGUUACUUGCUGAAUGUCCUCAAACUUAAGUGCCCCUACCCUCGGACACCCUGCUGUAACUGCUAACUUAAGCUUUAUUGAUACCUGAACUGUAAGCAUUUAGGAAUAUAUUACUUGAUCCUAAGACCCAUGUUCAGUUUAUUAGAAGAUGAUUUGCUGAACGUGAAGACUAGAGCUAAUUGUUACUGAAUUAAAUCCUUAAAAAAAAUGAAAAGCCACAAUCAUAAAGCUGGGUAAUUAAAACUAUAAUAAAACUUAAAAUUAAAAAAAAAUGAACUUACGCUCUUAACUAUUUCCCAUUACUUGUGAACAUGCUAGGAGUAUCUGCACACAGAGACUGCCUGUCUAAUAGCUUCUAUAGCAGUCUGGUCCCUGACUUUCUAAAUGAUCUGAGUAUAGGAAUGGACACGAAACAGAGUUUGGAGAUGAAUGGCACAACUUCUCUCAUCUUUAUUGAGGAUACCUGGGCAGUAAUCUACCUAAAAUUACCUUCUACCAAUUGUGUACCCUGCUUACACAAAUACUGAGAGUGGAACAUUAACAUGCCCUCGUAUCAGCUAUAAGCAGGCAGAUAAAGUAGGAAGUUAAGAUGAAGAUUUUCAUUUAAAUUUAAUAUUCCCUAAAUCCUUAAUCAGUUUUGCUGUUUUUCUUCCCUAGACUUCUAAUUUGGGUGUACUCUGGGGAGGCUUAGCUUCCCUGCAAGCCUUGCUGUUCUUUUCCUGUCUCCUGGCUUUAGAUGUUAAUAUGCUGUCAAUUUCUAAAUUUAUAUUUCCAAUUCAGACCUUUUCCCCAAACUGCCUAGUCUCUUUAAAUAUCUAGUAGGCACACCAAACAACCUGCCAUGGCUGAACUCUUUACCCUUUCCCGUAACCCCACCAUCUGCUAAGCCUGCAAUCUUUCUCAGUAGCCAAUACCAUCAUUUUAAUUGCUUAGAUACAAACUUUGAAAUCAGUUGACUUCUCAAUACCUCACAUCCAAUGCAUCAAAAAUCUUUUUGUCUAUCUGAAAAUAACCUAGAAUCUGACCACUUACUCCUUCCACUGCUUUCAUCAUUUGCCUGUUAAAUUACUGCAGUAACUCCUAACGGUCUCCCCAUUUUCUCUUGGCCUGUCUACAAUCUUUUCGGCAUGUCUGUCAGUUUUUUAUCAUGUCUCUCCAAACUCCUGUAGUGGUUCCCCAUUUCUAUCAUGAAAGCUCCAGUCUUUAAAAGGUUUUUCCAUUAUUUGGCCUCUUACAUCUCUGACCACACCUCCCAAUACCACUUCCUCCUCCCGACUCAUUACAUUCCAGCCACUCUGGCCUUGUUUUUUUGUUUUGUUUUGUUUUGUUUUUUUCAAAUAGGCCGGGCAUGUGUCUGCCUCUCAGCCUAUGCAGGGGCCAUUUCCCCUGCCUGGAAUGCUUUGGAUAUCUGCAUGACAGUGUCAUCUUCAUGUGGUUUAUUUUCACCUUUCUGUUGGAAGAAUGGAACCUAACUCCCUUACUCUGCUUUAUUUUUCCCAAAAGCUUAUUAACAGAAUAUGUUACUACCACAGUAUACGGUCUGUUUGUUGUCUAAUAGAAUACACAGACCCAUGAAAACAAGGAUCCUGUUUUUGUAAAUCCUGAGUUCCUACAUGAAUGUGUGUGCUACAUAGAUGUUAAUAAAUGAAUGAAUGUCUUUUAAAUGUAGCUCUACUACAUUAUAUUGUUAGCUUAAGCUUAUACAGGUAUUUUGUAGUUUUCAAAAGCUCACAUUUAUGCCACUUUGAUGAAAAGCUUUAGUGCCUUGUUUUCACUAACCAAAGGAAAUCUGAAGAGAGUUUUUGCUUUUAUGGAAUAAGGCAAAAAGUAAAAACAGUGUUAAGCACUUGUUUUACAGCCAGCUGUUCUAGAGGUUGUGUGUACUCUGAGCAGUUGAAUGGCACCAACCAAGUUCCUUCUCUGGAAACCACUCCGCAUCAAACCACCAUAGCUUUGAACUGUGAACAUCUGUGCUUUGUCUUGAUUUAUUUUGUAUAUCCCUUAGCAAAAUGUGUCCUAAGGUAUUAGAAAAGUCUGAGAGGUUAUUUUUUGGGCCUGGGAAUACUCAAAGUUUUCUACAUAAAUUAAUGGUAAUUCCUUCUUUAUGCCAUGUUAGCUCUACUUUUGGUUAACAGGGAAACCUGUAAUACUAGUUGGAAGAGCUAAUUCAGCAUCUUUCCAAUUGUAAAAAGUUUUUAAAAUGUCAUUUUAACCCUUUUUAAUUAUAUUUCAGUGGCAGUAAAUACAUUCACAAUGUGCAACUCUCUCCACUAUCCCUUUCCAGAACUGUUGCAUCAUCCCAGGCAAACACCGUACACAUUAAACAAUAACUCCCCAUUCCCAGUUCGCCCCCAGCCCCUGACAAACUACUAUACUUUCUGUCUACAAAUUUGCCUCUCCUAGGUACCUCAUAGAAGUGGAGUCCUAUACUAUGUGGUCCUGUGUGGCUGGCAUAUUUCACUUAGCAUAAUGUUUUCAAGGUUCAUCCAUGUUCAUCCAUCAGAAUUUCCUUUUAUUUAUCUAUUCAUCUGUUGAUGGGUAUUAGGGUUUUUCCACCUUUUGGCUAUGGUGAAUAAUGCUAUGAACAUUUGUGUACAAGUCCCUUCUUGCAAUUCUUUUGGAUAUAUAUACCUAGGAGUGGAAUUGCUGAAUCAUACGCAGUAAUUCGAUGUUUGAGGAACGCCAAAACUUUUCCACAGCAGGUGUACCAUUUAAUCUUCCCACCAGCAAUGGGUAAGAAUUUCCCUUUCUCCACAUCCUAACGAACACUUUUCGUUUUUCUGAUAGUAGCCAUCUUAAUGGGUUUGAAGUGUGUCAUUGUCCACUGUGAUUUUUGGUUACUCAUCAUUAUUGAGUCUUCCCAACAUACUAAACUUAGUUUUCAUUGAACCAAUUCUGUUUGUAUUCAUUUCACUGGUUUGUGCAAUAGAAAGCCAUGAAAUCAAAGGAAAAGGUACUAUUGACCUAGUUAAGAGCAAAUGCAACUGAAUAGUAAACAUAAUUAGUAAGAGCAGAAGUUCUUGAGUGCCUGACUGGCUUAGUUGGAUGAAUAUGUGACUCUUGAUCUCAGGAUCAUGGUGGGUUCGAGCCCCACGUUGGAUGGAGAGAUUAUUAAAACUAUAAACUUAAAAAAAAAAAAAAAAAA
rnacentral:lncRNA from 1 species